GACGAACGCUGGCGGCGUGCCUAAUACAUGCAAGUCGAGCGAACGGAGAAGAAGAUUGCUUCUUCAAAGUUAGCGGCGGACGGGUGAGUAACACGUGGGCAAUCUGCCCGUAAGACUGGGAUAACUCCGGGAAACCGGGGCUAAUACCGGAUAAUUCCGAUCCUCCCCUGAGGAUUGGCUGAAAGGCGGUUUAGGCCGUUACUUACGGAAGAGCCCGCGGCGCAUUAGCUCGUUGGCGGGGUAAUGGCCCACCAAGGCGACGAUGGGUAGCCGACCUGAGAGGGUGAUCGGCCACACUGGGACUGAGACACGGCCCAGACUCCUACGGGAGGCAGCAGUAGGGAAUCUUCCGCAAUGGACGAAAGUCUGACGGAGCAACGCCGCGUGAGUGAAGAAGGUUUUCGGAUCGUAAAACUCUGUUGUUAGGGAAGAACACGUAUGGGAGUAACUGCCCGUACCUUGACGGUACCUAACCAGAAAGCCACGGCUAACUACGUGCCAGCCGCCGCCGUAAAAC
rnacentral:rRNA from 1 species